CUGACUGCGUGUGCGGCUCUCCGCUUUUUAAGUCGUACACAGCUUUAAUAAGGAGGAAAAAGCGACCCUUUGGCUCAGGGUGCGGCAGUGUGGAGACCUGUCGUAAGGCGGCGCGUCCCAAAGCGGGCGGCCGUGAGGGCGUUUCAUGCGAAGGCAGAACGCUCAGAGCUGCGAACAUGGCA
ncrna:unclassified sequences malK-I RNA